AUUAUAAAUGAUCUACAGAUCAAUGAAAAUGCUGUUAUUUUUAUAGAAUAUUUUAACGCUUUUCGGCAGAGCAAAUUUAUAACACUUUGCUAACGGCGCUAGAUAUAAUAUAAUAAAAUAUUAAUGAACCCCGUCAUUCUGGUCCACCUGUGAUACUAGUUGUUAGCAAGAGAUAAAUGGAAAAUUUUGCACGUACAAUAUGCUAUCGGAAACUGCGACCGUAGAUCGCGAAUUCAAAGUAAAAAUAUAUUCUUGAACUCAGUUUAACGAAUAGAGGCAAAAAUCUGGAAAACGUUUAGAAGCGAAUAGUUUUACAAUUUUAGUCGUUUGCAAUAUUUUUGAAAUAAGUGUUGUCAAACUGGACGCAUUGGGCGUUAAAUAAAUAAAAUAUUAAUAAUUAUAAAAAAUAUUUCUUUUUAUUUUUCAUAGGUAUGCGAACGCCUUUCAAUGUUUAAAAAUUAAAUUUUAAAUGACUCACUAAUUCUUCUUUUAUUGUUUUUAGGCAGCAAGACUGACUCGUAUCGGCAGCAAAUUACGCCAAAUAUCAUUUGAGAUGCGAGUAUUUGGAUAUCAACAGUGCUCCAUGUUAGAAUUAGAUUCUUUUGUACUAUUUGUUGGAGGAGCUACCCUAAGAUCGAAGCUUUUUGGAGCAACUAUUAGAUCUUCAACUGUUAUUCUGACUGUUGGACUCUCUUUAUUUGUACUACUUACAUUAAUGGUGGUCGAUCUUCUGUCUGUUUCUGGAUUUGAUAUGCUCUUUUGAAAAGGAAUCAAGCUCGAUAUUUUGAACGAGUGAUUUUUUUGUUUUUGUUUUACAAAGCGUUUGUGAUAUAAUACUGAGAAUUUAAACGUUUCGUUAUUUAUUUGAUUGUACAGUAGAAAAAUAAAUGAAUUGAUUUUAA